rnacentral:tRNA from 1 species
GGUUGUGGCUCAGUGGUAGAGCGCUUGCCUAGCAUGAGUGAGGCACUGGGUUCAAUCCCAGGCACCA